GAGCGAAGCGGCAACAGCUCAAAUUUGAAAUCUGGCUACUUUGUAGUCCGAGUUGUAAUUUGUAGAGGAUGCUUUUGGUGAGGUGCCUUCCGAGUUCCCUGGAACGGGACGCCAGAGAGGGUGAGAGCCCCGUACGGUUGGAUACCAAACCUUUGUAUAGCUCCUUCAACGAGUCGAGUAGUUUGGGAAUGCUGCUCUAAAUGGGAGGUAUAUCUCUUCUAAAGCUAAAUAUAGGCUAGAGACCGAUAGCGCACAAGUAGAGUGAUCGAAAGAUGAAAAGCACUUUGAAAAGAGAGUUAAACAGCACGUGAAAUUGUUGAAAGGGAAGCGCCUAUGACCAGACUUGUUUCUUUCAGUUUUGUUAGUUUUCGGACUGCUUUACUCUGUUAGUACAGGCCAACAUCAGUUUGUUGUCGGGGAGAAAGGCUUAGGGAAUGUGGCUCCUUCGGGAGUGUUAUAGCCCUUUGCAUAAUACCCUUCGGCAGACUGAGGACCGCGCUUCGGCAAGGAUGUUGGCGUAAUGGUCAUCAGCGACCCGUCUUGAAACACGGACCAAGGAGUCAACCUUAUGUGCGAGUGUUUGGGUGUAAAACCCCAGCGCGUAAUGAACGUGAACGUAGGUGAGAGCUUCGGCGCAUCAUCGACCGAUUCUGAUGUUCUCGGAUGGAUUUGAGUAAGAGCAUAUAGGGUUGGACCCGAAAGAAGGUGAACUAUGCUUGUAUAGGGUGAAGCCAGAGGAAACUCUGGUGGAGGCUCGCAGCGGUUCUGACGUGCAAAUCGAUCGUCAAAUAUGAGCAUGGGGGCGAAAGACUAAUCGAACCUUCUAGUAGCUGGUUCCAGCCGAAGUUUCCCUCAGGAUAGCAGUGUUGAACUUCAGUUUUAUGAGGUAAAGCGAAUGAUUAGGGACUCGGGGGCGCUAUAUUGCCUUCAUCCAUUCUCAAACUUUAAAUAUGUAAGAAGCCCUUGUUACUUAAUUGAACGUGGGCAUUCGAAUGUCUCAAC
rnacentral:rRNA from 1 species